UUCUGUCGCUGAUGAAUUGUUAUUACCUACAUUGUUUGAUAUUUUAAAUGAGAACAAACUUCAUACUGAGAUAGAA